AUGACUCAGAUGAACAGCUCCAUGUCAUUCUGAGGAAAAGGAGGUCACAGCCCAGAGGACUAAGGAAACAUGUCCUUGCAUUCAACUUUCACUUUGUUCGGCUUGGAUUUCUCCCAGCAGAUUGGGCCGUGACACGUCCCUUGGAGCUCAGCUGUGACCCAUCACAUUCCCAACAACGUUGUCUUCUAUUUUCUAGGUAUAAGAAAUCACCUUUCAGGGGAAGAGUUACCCUGCAAGCAAACACGGAUGUCUUCUACUGACGAUUACUACAACACCGGACAGGGAAACGAACACACCUACUAUGAUUUUAUUAGGAUCACAUAUCCACAUGCUAAGCCGUCUUCAUAAUAAAGACAGUAGAUCACUGAGCGAUCCUUACAAACUGACCCUUUCAUCCCAGCUCCUUAGUUACAGCUGACCUCCUUCAACUAAUCUUCUGCA